rnacentral:rRNA from 1 species
CCUACGUGCGGCAGCAGUGAGGAAUAUUGGUCAAUGUGCGAGAGCCUGAACCAGCCAAGUCGCGUGAGGGAGUACUGCCCUAUUGGUUGUAAACCUCUUUUGUCGGGGAGCAAAAGCCGGACGUGUCCGGCUGUGAGCGUACCCGAAGAAAAAGCAUCGGCUAAAUCCGUGCAAGCAGCCGCGGUAAUACGGGGGAUGCGAGCGUUAUGCGGAUAUAUUGGGUGUAACGGGUGCGCAGGCGGAUUUUUAAGUCAGCGGUCAAAUCGUGGGGCUCAAACCCAUCCAGCCGUUGAAACUGGGGAUCUAGAGUGUGCGAGAGGUAUGCGGAAUGCGUGGUGUAGCGGUGAAAUGCAUAGAUAUCACGCAGAACCCCGAUUGCGAAGGCAGCAUACCGGUGCACAACUGACGCUCAGGCACGAAAGCGUGGGUAUCGAACAGGAUUAGAUACCCUAGUAGUC